AUGCCUCACAUCCAUCACGUUAACCUCAAUCCACCACUCACCGGCCAUACACGAAAACCCAUCUUCACUCUUACCUUGUCCUUUGUGAAAACUGGCGAUUCCGCUCACCUAUCAACACCACCUCGACUUUCAAACAUCCCAUACUUCUCAUUGUUAACCAUCGUCUACCUUCCACCUCAUAAUCUAGCUGAUUCUCUACCCCAAGCUCUCGAUUCGAAGCUCAAAUCACUCUAUUCGAUUCCUCUUCAGAUUUGA